AGGACUGCCGAGUCUCUGCCCCAGCUAUCAGUAGUAUAUGCUGGCAAGAUUUAGGCAGUUCAGA
rnacentral:pre_miRNA from 1 species